GACGAACGCUGGCGGCGUGCUUAACACAUGCAAGUCGAACGGAAAGGCCCUGCUUUUGUGGGGUGCUCGAGUGGCGAACGGGUGAGUAACACGUGAGUAACCUGCCCUUGACUUUGGGAUAACUUCAGGAAACUGGGGCUAAUACCGGAUAGGAGCUCCUGCUGCAUGGUGGGGGUUGGAAAGUUUCGGCGGCUGGGGAUGGACUCGCGGCUUAUCAGCUUGUUGGUGGGGUAGUGGCUUACCAAGGCUUUGACGGGUAGCCGGCCUGAGAGGGUGACCGGCCACAUUGGGACUGAGAUACGGCCCAGACUCCUACGGGAGGCAGCAGUGGGGAAUAUUGCACAAUGGGCGGAAGCCUGAUGCAGCAACGCCGCGUGCGGGAUGACGGCCAUCGGGUUGUAAACCGCUUUCGCCUGUGACGAAGCGUGAGUGACGGUAAUGGGUAAAGAAGCACCGGCUAACUACGUG
rnacentral:rRNA from 1 species